GGGCUCGUAGCUCAGUUGGUUAGAGCGCACGCCUGAUAAGCGUGAGGUCGGUGGUUCGAAUCCACCCGAGCCCACCA
rnacentral:tRNA from 1 species